GUAAGGGGUGAGUGUCAGCCAAGUCAUCAGCUAUCAGAACACGAAGCCAUCAGGUAAUAUAUCAAGUUGAUAUAUUAAGAAAGAGGGAUCUAUCUAUUAUAUAACAGAGAUAAGCACUCAGAUAUAUGGAUUAUAAAUAGUUUAGAAAAUUUAAAUAUUUGAUUAUUCAGAAAGUAGACUUGGGAGUAUUGGAGAAACAGGUUGGGGAGUAGACUGCAUGGAAAGCUCUUUCUUAGUGUGGGAUUUUCAAUUAUGCACAUAGGUUUCUUACAUAACAUGGAAAAUUCAAUUAAGAAACAACAUUGUGUUUUGGGGUCCCAAAAGUUCAGUGAUUGAUUAGAAGGACUCACAAAACUGAGUCAAGCUGUUAUACUCACAGUUAUAGUUUAUUACAACAAAAGGAUACAGAUUAAAAUCAGCAGCAGAAAAGGGUGCAUAGGGCA
rnacentral:lncRNA from 1 species